UUGAAUUUUAUGAAGAGUUUGGUUGUAGCUGGCCCAUUCAUUUGGGCAUGUGCACACCCUCCUCUUUCAUCCCACACACACCUGUGAACCUGUGAGACAGAGAUGGGGAAUUUACUUGCUGCUUUUUGGAAUACAAAGGCAAUAGGUUAUUGGACCCCCCCUCUGUCUACUCAAUUAAUAUAAACUCAAUUUAUUUUAAAACGAAUGUAAUGGAUGUAACACAUCUCAUAC
rnacentral:misc_RNA from 1 species